GAUGAACGCUAGCGACAGGCUUAACACAUGCAAGUCGAGGGGCAGCACAGGUAGCACUACCGGGUGGCGACCGGCGCACGGGUGAGUAACGCGUAUGCAACUUACCUAUCAGAGGGGGAUAACCCGGCGAAAGUCGGACUAAUACCGCAUGAAGCAGGGGUCCCGCAUGGGGAUAUUUGCUAAAGAUUCAUCGCUGAUAGAUAGGCAUGCGUUCCAUUAGGCAGUUGGCGGGGUAACGGCCCACCAAACCGACGAUGGAUAGGGGUUCUGAGAGGAAGGUCCCCCACAUUGGUACUGAGACACGGACCAAACUCCUACGGGAGGCAGCAGUGAGGAAUAUUGAUCAAUGGCCGAGAGGCUGAACCAGCCAAGUCGCGUGAGGGAUGAAGGUUCUAUGGAUCGUAAACCUCUUUUAUAAGGGAAUAAAGUGCGGGACGUGUCCCGUUUUGUAUGUACCUUAUGAAUAAGGAUCGGCUAACUCCGUG
rnacentral:rRNA from 1 species